AGAUCACUGAAGUCAAGCAUCAUUGGGGCGCUGUCAGUACUUGGGUGGGUGACCACCUGGGAACACCGCGUGCCGUU